AUACGGAGGGUGCAAGCGUUGUUCGGAAUUACUGGGCGUAAAGCGCGCGUAGGCGGUCUGAUAUGUCAGAUGUGAAAGUCCUCGGCUCAACCGGGGAAGUGCAUUUGAAACUGGCAGACUUGAGUACUGGAGGGGGUGGUGGAAUUCCCGGUGUAGAGGUGAAAUUCGUAGAUAUCGGGAGGAAUACCGGUGGCGAAGGCGACCACCUGGCCAGAUACUGACGCUGAGGUGCGAAAGCGUGGGGAGCAAACAGGAUUAGAUACCCGGGUAGUCC
rnacentral:rRNA from 1 species